AAAAGAUAUUUUGUUGACGACGUCAUUUUUGCAAGACAUCAUUUUUGCAAGACAUCAUGAGGGUCUUAUGAAAUUUUGCUUUAGCUUCCCGACGAUUUUAAUGAACAUCGGCCGACGUUUUGUUUGGCGUCGCUUUUCCUUUACCUCACUCUGCCCGAUCCCCUUUUCUAUUUUCCCUUUCCUUUCCCUUUCCCUUUCACACGCUGCCCUUAACUUCGUUCUUUGUUCGUGGUAAAGUUUUCUGUGAUACUUGCCUUCCGGCUUUGAAACCUCCGGUACCACCUACAUUCCCGGACCCAAAAAGAAAGAAGGGAAAAACAUGUCAAAUUUGGGUCUCAUAAUCGGGUUAUUAUUAUUGUUCUUAAAUUCAAGUGUUUAGGAGCUGUUGCUGUUACUUAUGAUUAUAGCAGUAUAGCACGAAUGAUUUUCCACCAAGUUUUGUUUUUGGAUCUGGCACUACUACUUAUCAGGUAGAGGGAGCAGCAAAGGAAAGCAUUGGGGAUACUUUUGCUCAUUCUGGUUGGAGGUGAAAGUUGAACAUAAGCUAUUUGAUGAAACGUGAAGAAGAUUUUACAGAGAUUCAUCGGCAAAUGUGACCAAAUUUUGAGCAUAAUUGAUAUUGAGGCUUGUUGCGAUUAUUCCAACCUCUACCACCUCUAGUGUUUCAACCAUGUCCUUGAAAUUGAUAUCCUGAUUUCGACUUAUCAUUUUCUUGUACGGUAUUAUUCUGAACUGUAAGAUUUGUUGAGGGAGGUGUGCCAUCUAUAUUUAUUGAUUUCAUCUUGCUUUCAUUUCUAUUUUCUUGUGUUAAUAGUAGAGCAACAACAUCUUGAAUGCUUUGAUGUUCAAUUUUUGCAGUGAUGACAGACACCAUAGAUUCUUCUGGUAUUUCUUUUCUAAUAGCAGCUAAGGCAUCAACGAUUUCUUGAUUUGAGCAACAUAUUUACUUAAUGACAAACUUCCCUUUUGAAUCGUUUGGAGUUUUGUUUUAGUCUUCAUUAUUUGUGUCAUAUUUCUAGAGUUGAAGAUUUUCAAAAGGCAGUGCCAUAUAUCUUCAGACGAUCUAUAGUGGAAAGUUUGUUCUAAGAUAUUUUUAGUCAUGGAUCCAAGUAACCAAGAAGAAAUCAAUCUAUCCUGACGUUUCCAUCACAAGAAUGUUGGAUUAGGUUUAGUAAUAUUGUUCUUGCCUUCAACAACUUUGAUUUCUUCCGGCGUAGGUUUUGAUGUAGGAUCUAGGAAUACUUCUAGUCCAUGGCCUUCAAGAGUGAUUUCGAUUUGAACUUUCCAUGUGAGAAAAUUUUCAUUUGUCAGCUUCACAGUGGAAAUUUUGUUGCUGGAGUGAUAACCAUACUCGACUGAUUAUUGGUUUCUCGCUCUGAUAUCAUAUUUGAAUAAAAUAAGAACAUCAAAGAAUAGGAGGAAACCUUUCUCAUCUCAUUCAUUUCAUCUCUUUUAGAGAAUACAAGAAUUGAUAUAUGUAUAUAUCAGUUGAAGAAAGGGGAAAACCUCCCUUACUAGAAAUGAUCCUCACGUGUUUUUCAUGUGAUCAAAGAACAAUGGGUUGGUGGGCUUUUCUUUACACGACCUUAAUGGGCUGUCUUUAUAGUUUUGACUUAGUUGUAAAAUAUUAAGUUUGAAAUUGGUUUGAGUUGAAAUUUAAGUUUUGAUGUGUGUUGAGAGGGGGAGAGGUUGGUGAGAGUGAGGGUCCAGAUUUUAUUUGAAGUUACUAAACUUACUCAGUUUAAGUUUAGGUUUUAUAUUGAGUUUGAUAUUAUUAUAUAGAUAAAUGCAUAGUUAUGUUUAAAUUUUGUAUUAAUGUUGCUAUUAUUAUAGGGGUAAAUGCAUGAUGCAUAAAAUUAAUUAUUUAGUAGCAUUAAAACUAUUUAAUUUGUAUU